rnacentral:rRNA from 1 species
GGGUUCUUAAGUGCGAAAAGGGCAUCUGGUGGAUGCCUUGGCGACACAAGGCGAUGAAGGACGUGGCACUCUGCGAUAAGGUCCGGGGAGGCGAGAGCACCCUUUGAUCCGGACAUUUCCGAAUGGGGAAACCCACCCGUAAGGGUAUCUGCAUCUGAAUACAUAGGGUGCGGAAGCGAACCCAGGGAACUGAAACAUCUCAGUACCUGGAGGAAAGGACAUCAACCGAGACUCCGCUAGUAGUGGCGAGCGAACGCGGACCAGCCCAGUGAUCAAUUAGCUUAUACCGGAACCGUCUGGAAAGUCGGGCCAUAGUGGGUGAUAGCCCCGUACGGGAAAGACGCUGAUUGAUCCUCGAGUAGGACGGGACACGUGAAAUCCUGUCUGAACAUGGGGGGACCACCCUCCAAGGCUAAGUACUCUGUGUCGACCGAUAGUGCACCAGUACCGUGAGGGAAAGGUGAAAAGCACCCCGAUAAGGGGAGUGAAAUAGUACCUGAAACCGGAUGUCUACAAGCAGUCGGAGCCUCCUUGAGGGGCGACGGCGUACCUUUUGCAUAAUGGGUCAGCGAGUUGGUGUUGCAUGCAAGCUUAAGCCGUUAGGUGUAGGCGAAGCGAAAGCGAGUCUUAAAAGGGCGUCUAGUAUGCAGUAUCAGACCCGAAACCGGGUGAUCUAGUCAUGGGCAGGUUGAAGGUGAGGUAACAUUCACUGGAGGACCGAACUCACUACCGUUGAAAAGGUAUGGGAUGACCUGUGAUUAGGGGUGAAAGGCCAAUCAAACUCGGAAAUAGCUGGUUCUCCGCGAAAGCUAUUUAGGUAGCGCGUCAUGCGAAUACCUACGGGGGUAGAGCACUGGAUGGGCUAGGGGGGCGCGAGUCUUACCAAACCUAACCAAACUCCGAAUACCGUAGAGUAAUACAUGGCAGACAGGCGGCGGGUGCUAAGGUCCGUCGCCAAAAGGGAAACAGCCCAGACCGCCAGCUAAGGUCCCUAAAUCUUGGCUAAGUUGGAAAGGAUGUGGGAAGGCCAUAACAACCAGGAGGUUGGCUUAGAAGCAGCCAUCCUUUAAAGAAAGCGUAACAGCUCACUGGUCUAAUUAAGCCGUCCUGCGCCGAAGAUGUAUCGGGGAUUAAGCCAAGUACCGAAGCUGCGGGUGUCAUAACUUCGGUUAUGACGCGGUAGCGGAGCGUUCCGUAAGCCUGCGAAGGUGUACCGUUAGGUAUGCUGGAGGUAUCGGAAGUGACUAUGCUGACAUGAGUAGCGACAAAGAGUGUGAGAAACACUCUCGCCGAAAAUCCAAGGGUUCCUGCGCAAGGCUAAUCCGCGCAGGGUGAGCCGGCUCCUAAGGUGAGGCCGACAGGCGUAAUCGAUGGGAACCAGGUUAAUAUUCCUGGGCCAGCUGGAUGUGACGUCCUUCGUAAAUUGUUCCCGCUUAUCGGAUUGCGGGGGCUGUGAAGAGGGACCAGGAAAUAGCACCAGCAUGUGACCGUACCCUAAACCGACACAGGUGGAUUGGUAGAGUAUACCUAGGCGCUUGAGAGAACUAUGUUGAAGGAACUAGGCAAUUUGCCCGCGUAACUUCGGGAUAAGCGGGCCUCUAUGGUGCGCAAGCAUUGUAGAGGGGCACAAACCAGGGGGUAGCGACUGUUUAUUAAAAACACAGGGCUCUGCGAAGUGGCAACACGACGUAUAGGGUCUGACGCCUGCCCGGUGCCGGAAGGUUAAGAGGAGGGGUGCAAGCUCCGAAUCGAAGCCCCGGUAAACGGCGGCCGUAACUAUAACGGUCCUAAGGUAGCGAAAUUCCUUGUCGGGUAAGUUCCGACCUGCACGAAUGGCGUAACGACUUCCCCAGUGUCUCCAACAUAGACUCAGCGAAAUUGAAUUCUCCGUGAAGAUGCGGAGUACCCGCGGCCAGACGGAAAGACCCCGUGCACCUUUACUAUAGUUUUGCAUUGGUACUAGGCAUUGGAUGUGUAGGAUAGGUCGGAGGCUUUGAAGCAGUGGCGCUAGCUAUUGUGGAGCCAACGUUGAAAUACGACCCUUUUGGUGACUGGUAUCUAACCGCGUCCCGUUAACCGGGACCGGGACACUGCAUGAUGGGUAGUUUGACUGGGGCGGUCGCCUCCGAAAGAGUAACGGAGGCGCGCGAUGGUGGGCUCAAGCCGGUCGGAAAUCGGCUGUUGAGUGCAAGAGCAUAAGCCCGCCUGACUGCGAGACCGACGGGUCGAGCAGAGACGAAAGUCGGUUCUAGUGAUCCGGUGGUUCUAAGUGGAAGGGCCAUCGCUCAACGGAUAAAAGGUACGCCGGGGAUAACAGGCUGAUACCCCCCAAGAGUCCACAUCGACGGGGGUGUUUGGCACCUCGAUGUCGACUCAUCACAUCCUGGGGCUGGAGCAGGUCCCAAGGGUUUGGCUGUUCGCCAAUUAAAGUGGUACGUGAGUUGGGUUUAGAACGUCGUGAGACAGUUCGGUCCCUAUCUACCGUGGGUGUUGGAAGCUUGAGAGGAUCUGUCCCUAGUACGAGAGGACCGGGAUGGACGUACCUCUGGUGUACCAGUUGUUCCGCCAGGAGCAUCGCUGGGUAGCUAUGUACGGACGGGAUAACCGCUGAAUGCAUCUAAGCGGGAAACCCACCUCAAAACCAGGCUUCCCUGAGAAUCGUGAUAGACCAUCACGUUGAUAGGCCGGGUGUGGAAGCGCAGCAAUGCGUGCAGCUAACCGGUACUAAUUAUUCGAUAGACUUGAGAG